UACGUAGGGUGCGAGCGUUGUCCGGAUUUAUUGGGUUUAAAGGGUGCGUAGGCGGUCUUAUAAGUCAGUGCUGAAAUAUCCCGGCUUAACCGGGAGGGUGGCAUUGAUACUGUAAGACUUGAGUAAAGUUGAGGUGGGCGGAAUUGACGGUGUAGCGGUGAAAUGCUUAGAUAUCGUCAAGAACACCGAUUGCGAAGGCAGCUCACUAAGCUUUAACUGACGCUGAGGCACGAAAGCGUGGGGAGCAAACAGG
rnacentral:rRNA from 1 species